AGCAGCCGCGGUAAUUCCAGCUCCAAUAGCGUAUAUUAAAGUUGUUGCAGUUAAAAAGCUCGUAGUUGAAUUUCGGAAUCAGUACGCUGGUCGUGCCUUCGGUAUGUACUGGUGUCACUGAUUCCUCCCUUCUGAAGAACCAUCAUGCCAUUCACUUGGUGUUGCGGGGAAACUGGACUGUUACUUUGAAAAAAUUAGAGUGUCUAAAGCAGGCUAACGCUUGAAUACAUUAGCAUGGAAUAAUGAAAUAGGACGUUCGAUCUUAUUUUGUUGGUUUCUAGGAUUGACGUAAUGAUUAAUAGGGAUAGUUGGGGGCAUUAGUAUUCAAUUGUCAGAGGUGAAAUUCUUGGAUUUAUUGAAGACUAACUACUGCGAAAGCAUUUGCCAAGGAUGUUUUCAUUAAUCAAGAACGAAAGUUAGGGGAUCGAAGACGAUCAGAUACCGUCGUAGUCUUAACCAUAAACUAUGCCGACUAGGGAUCGGAUGAUGUAAUUUUUAUGA
rnacentral:sRNA from 1 species